CUGGCCUACGGGAGGCAGCAGUGAGGAAUAUUGGUCAAUGGGCGGGAGCCUGAACCAGCCAAGUCGCGUGAGGGAAGACGGUCCUAUGGAUUGUAAACCUCUUUAGGCGGGGAGCAAUGCCGGGCACGCGUGCCCGGAGGGAGAGUACCCGCAGAAUAAGCAUCGGCUAACUCCGUGCCAGCAGCCGCGGUAAUACGGAGGAUGCGAGCGUUAUCCGGAUUUAUUGGGUUUAAAGGGUGCGUAGGCGGGAUUGCAAGUCAGAUGUGAAAACUAUGGGC
rnacentral:rRNA from 1 species